UUUUCUGCAAUGUUGUCUUUGCCAACCUUGUGUAACCCCUACCACUGCUCCGAUGCUGUCUGCUGCAGUAUCCAACAUAUCCUUGGUUGCAAAUCAAUUAGUGCUUGUUAAAGUAGCCAGCCUAAGGUCGCUAAUCCUAAUCCCACUGAAUGCUACAACACUGGUGGUGGAGAGACUGAGAGAGAAAUAAGUAUUUUGCAGAGACAGAGACGUUAUCUGGUGGAUGUCACAAGCACAGAGUGAUGAAUACGGAAUCCCGGCUGAAAAACGUUCAAAACGUGAGUUGUGUUUCUCCGGCCACUUUAUAAAA